rnacentral:rRNA from 1 species
UACAGAGGGUGCAAGCGUUGUUCGGAAUCACUGGGCGUAAAGCGCGCGCAGGCGGGUGGGCAAGUCGGAAGUGAAAUCUCGCCGCUCAACGACGAGGCUGCUUCGGAUACUACCCAUCUAGGGACCGGUAGAGGCUGGUAGAAUUGCAGGUGUAGCGGUGGAAUGCGUAGAGAUCUGCAAGAAUACCCGUGGCGAAGGCGGCCAGCUGGGCCGGGUCCGACGCUGAGGCGCGAAAGCCAGGGGAGCAAGCGGG